rnacentral:lncRNA from 1 species
CAAUACAGGGGUUGGGGUUGGCUUUUUUACAUGGAUGCUGUCAGGUGUGUAAAUAUGUAAUUUGAAUGUGGAGGUUUUCUAAGUAUGUGUGUUGGGGGGGGGGGGGAAUAAUUAAUGGAGAAUAGGUGCAGAACAAAGUAGGUGCAGAUACAUGUAGUGCUCCAGCUGUGCACCAGAUAGGGCAGAUAUGGUAAAUAAAUCGGUGACGUGCUGCGAUCGACACAGAGAGAACACAAAGACAGAAGGCAGGCAGACUCUGACGGAGACGGAUAAGAAGACAGAGAAGUAGGCCGACAAUCAGGCAGACUGGAGCACACAAAUAAACAAGGGUACCUGUACUGUAUGGAUAAUGACGUGGUUUUGGAGAUGAAAGCAGAAACAAUGCAAAUAGCCUUCACUCUCAGCAGUUACCAUGACGACCAACCACCUGAACUUGGCAGGAUUCAGGAAGGGGCCGUGUUGUACAGUAUUCAUGACAGACAUUUUGGAAUUAUGGAUGAAUAUUUCAUGGCCUGUUGAACUUGGAUCCAUCCUGGGAUGCUGUUGGCAGUGGAUACCAUUCAUGCUAUCACACUAUCAUACCAAUGGCUUGAUACGUCUCCUUCCCUUGAAAUGUCAAUGCAGAGCGAUCUGAGAAUCCGUUCAUGUUUCUGAAAAGGAAAACUCAGAAAUCGAAAACAGGGAGAGGCAGAGUGAUUGUCUUACCAAUAAGUGCUGAUACAUAUUUGAAUCUAAUACAUGUUUCAGACGACAAGGGCAGUGGCAGUCGCGCUGCAAGAUAGAGGGCGGGGUGCCUAACUCCAUUCUUACUGUCUAAAGUCCUGUUGGGGGUCCUCGUGCUUGACUGGUCAUCUGUGGAUCCGACGGACUGGCAAUAGUUCACCGCCUCCAGCCCCCUACUGAGCAACUGGCAAAGGUAGCCUGAGGGGGCGGGCUGUGAGCGUGUGAUAUCGAUGACAUGUUUCAUAACAAGUGUCUAAGGCCAUCUAUUACCUGGCCCUCUGUGUUUUUACCUUGCUUCAUCAUAUUUUUAUCCAGCAUUUUCUGUCUCUCCUCACUCUCACCACUCUGAGGGGCUGGGAAACCAGCAGACUGCAGCUGAAUGAAGGAAAACACAUGGAGACGGUUUGGAAUUAUUGGCGUAAUUAGACCUACAGGGGGUAUAGAUUGAAAGAUUUGCCUGAGUGAUGAUUCUGGUGUACAGGUGUGAGGAGGCCAGUGAAGCAUUUAUUCAAUUCAGGCUCACUGGGCACCAGCCUUUCCACGUGAGGAGGGCACAAGAAAACAUUGUUGUUAUUUAUGUAAAAAUAAUGGAGCGUCAGUCACUCAAUGGGAAAAUAAAUGGACAAUUUUAAUGCUGACCCAAGUUGGACUUUGGCUUGUAGUUAACAACAUUAUGAAUAAGCAACAGCUGAAAAAUAUCCUUUUCUCUUCUUUUCUUUUCUUUGAAGAGUAAUGUACUACAGUUGUUAAAUUUGAUCUUUGGUAGUCU